AGAGUUUGAUCCUGGCUCAGGACGAACGCUGGCGGCGCGCCUAACACAUGCAAGUCGAACGAAGCUAUGUUGAAAGCUUGCUGGAUAUAUAGCUUAGUGGCGGACGGGUGAGUAACACGUGAGCAACCUGCCUCUCAGAGUGGAAUAACGUUUGGAAACGGACGCUAAUACCGCAUAACGUGAGAAGAGGGCAUCCUCUUUUUACCAAAGAUUUAUCGCUGAGAGAUGGGCUCGCGGCCGAUUAGGUAGUUGGUGAGAUAACAGCCCACCAAGCCGACGAUCGGUAGCCGGACUGAGAGGUUGAUCGGCCACAUUGGGACUGAGACACGGCCCAGACUCCUACGGGAGGCAGCAGUGGGGGAUAUUGCACAAUGGGGGAAACCCUGAUGCAGCGACGCCGCGUGAGGGAAGACGGUUUUCGGAUUGUAAACCUCUGUCUUUAGGGACGAAUAAAUGACGGUACCUGAGUAAGAAGCCCCGGCUAACUACGUGCCAGCAGCCGCGGUAAGAUGACGUGU
rnacentral:rRNA from 1 species